rnacentral:rRNA from 1 species
AAUGAACGCUGGCGGCGUGCCUAACACAUGCAAGUCGGAUGUGCCGCAAGGUGCAUGGCAGACGGGUGAGUAACGCGUAGGGAAUCUACCUUUUUGUGGGGAAUAACGCUCCGAAAGGAGUGGUAAUACCGCAUGAGACCGUGGCCUGGGAUGGUUACGGUGAAACCUGGGGACCGCAAGGCCUGGGGCAAAAAGAGGAUCCUGCGUCUGAUUAGCUAGUUGGCGGGGUAAUGGCCCACCAAGGCGACGAUCAGUAGCCGGCCUGAGAGGGUGAUCGGCCACACUGGAACUGAGACACGGUCCAGACUCCUACGGGAGGCAGCAGUGGGGAAUUUUGCGCAAUGGACGAAAGUCUGACGCAGCAACGCCGCGUGGGUGAUGAAGGUCUUCGGACUGUAAAACCCUGUCGUCAGGGACGAAGGUGGCAGUGUUAAUAGCGCUGUUACUUGACGGUACCUGGAGAGGAAGCCCCGGCUAACUCUGUGCCAGCAGCCGCGG